UACGUAGGGUGCAAGCGUUGUCCGGAAUCAUUGGGCGUAAAGAGCGUGUAGGCGGCCCGAUAAGUCCGCUGUGAAAGUCCAGGGCUCAACCCUGGAAUGCCGGUGGAUACUGUCGGGCUCGAAUCCGGAAGAGGUGAGUGGAAUUCCUGGUGUAGCGGUGAAAUGCGCAGAUAUCAGGAGGAACACCGGUGGCGAAGGCGGUUCUCUGGGCCUGACCUGACGCUGAGGAGCGAAAGCGUGGGGAGCGAACAGG
rnacentral:rRNA from 1 species